GACGAACGCUGGCGGCGUGCUUAACACGUGCAAGUCGAACGGAAAGGCCCUGCUUUUGUGGGGUGCUCGAGUGGCGAACGGGUGAGUAACACGUGAGUAACCUGCCCUUGACUUUGGGAUAACUUCAGGAAACUGGGGCUAAUACCGGAUAGGAGCUCCUGCUGCAUGGUGGGGGUUGGAAAGUUUCGGCGGUUGGGGAUGGACUCGCGGCUUAUCAGCUUGUUGGUGGGGUAGUGGCUUACCAAGGCUUUGACGGGUAGCCGGCCUGAGAGGGUGACCGGCCACAUUGGGACUGAGAUACGGCCCAGACUCCUACGGGAGGCAGCAGUGGGGAAUAUUGCACAAUGGGCGGAAGCCUGAUGCGGCAACGCCGCGUGCGGGAUGACGGCCUUCGGGUUGUAAACCGCUUUCGCCUGUGACGAAGCGUGAGUGACGGUAAUGGGUAAAGAAGCACCGGCUAACUACGUG
rnacentral:rRNA from 1 species